GACCUACACAAGACGGGAAGCGAGACUGCUCGAUUCUGCCACUGCUGAGAUGAAUGUCAAAUCUCCCCGUUACUUCCAGCUUUAUUCUGAGUGUUGCUGCUUAGUUUAACUCAAAAUCCUUAUCGCAGCGGGAUCAUAAGGGUGGCAGAUCAAUCCAUACCAACGGAACAUACCCACUGCAAAUUAACACGCAGUGUACGUGUGUAUAGAUAGGGACACGGCACACGAGCUGCCAAUUAUGUCGUGCUUUAGAGGAAACUGCAGAGAAAAAGUCACGAAGAGAAGGCUGCCUGGUGAGGUGUCUCGAGAUGUAAAUGGCUCCUGCUGAAAAGGUGCUUGAAACAAGACUUCAUUGCUGAGCUACAGGGAUUAAGGGAAGGGAUUUUAUUUGCCUGCUGCAGUUAGAUGCAGCGUCCUCAAGGACCCCAGAAUUUGCAUGGAAACAUGGAGGAGAGGAGAGAGGAAAUAACCUUUACAGAAAGAAAAUCAGUCAAAUCAUCUUUAUCAUUCAAACAAAAGAUGACAGGAAAUGAACAGGUGACUUCAAGGAUGAAAAAAAUACUCUUCUGCCAAUUCAAGAAAAGAUAAUGGAUGAGGUGUUACAGAACCUGUAGGUGAAUUUGAGUUUUCAUUAUAACCAUCUUUACCGAUGUCUUGAUUUUAGAGUUCUAAAAAACUACCUGUAUACCACAACAAUUAAGAAAAUUAAGCAGGGGUAGCACUAAAGUGAAGCAAGGCAGGAUUAACCCUGAUGUAAAGGAUGAGUUAAGCACAAUGACAUCAAGCAGCAAAAAACUCUGAGGAGCAGUGACAAAGAUCUUUAUCAUGCAACAAACUACAUUUUGAGAACAAUGCCUGGAAUAAAGAGGGGAAGAAAAUGUUUAAUACUGUUACUUCCUCUAAGUAAGAUCACAGAAUCAUCGAAUCAUAAAAGGUUGGAAAAGACCUCUAAGAUCAUCAAGUCAGCCAUCAGCCAUCACCACCAUGCUCGCUUUGGAGGAUGCCAAAGCAGACACAGAACUGAACAGCAGUCUCAGAUUGUGAUACAUCAUGCUUUUAGAAUUGUUAUUCUCUCCUGAUUCACCUUGUUGCAACUGUAACGAUGCCUGUAGUCCCAGAAGUGGGAGCAAGAAGAGAUCAUUACAACUGGGGCAUUUAUUUCCUCUCUGCCUAUCAAAGAGAUGAGCCUCUGGACAGCAAAUUUAGUGGUAUUUUACUGGAUACAGAUGCAGAGCACUGCACAUCUCUUCUUCCUGCAAUAUAACAGCAGUGGAGAGUUCAGCUGAGAGAACAAACUUUGAGAAGAUAUCUCACUCCUGUAGGACAGUGAAAUAGUUGUCCAAAUCACAAUGUGGGACUCAGAGCCAUGGCCUAGAACAAGAGAAGGGUAUAUACCUUGUCUUUCUUAUUCUUACAAGGAAAGAUCAAGAUACAUCCAUAUGUGACUUUUGACAAUUCAAGAAAGAAAACUUCAAAUGCUCAGGUGUUUGAUCUUUAUUUUUUUAUAACCUAUCAAAACCACAGGAUCUGUAAGCAUUCCUUCAGCCCUAAAUGGUUUCUUUCUCUUUUCCAUUUUUCAUAUAGAAUCAUAGAAUCAUAGAAUGGCCUGGGUUGAAAAGGACCACAGUGAUCAUUGAGUUUCAACCCCCCUGCUAUGUGCAGGGUUGCCAGCCACUAGACCAGGCUGCCCAGAGAAUUUUUUUAUUCCAGUAAAGGAGGAGGCCUUUCUUUUGUUGAGAAACCAAAUGUAAAAGAGUAGAAGAUUUUUACAAGAAGCAAACUUGUAAAAAUGGCAUCCUGGGGUUCCCCAUUUGUUACAUUGCAAUUGUUUCUAGAUCAAACCUGUUCAGUUCAGCACUGAAAGGAUGGGUUUGCUGCUGUCCAUCACUGAGAGCUCUACUAAAGUAAAGCCUGAUACUUUCUGGGUCAUACUCUCUAAAAAUAAGUCACAAUGGGAAUGCUAAAAAAAACUAACUUACAACAUGUGAAUCAGAACUCCAGUUGCCUUCUACUUCUGCAGGGCUAAGAAAAACCCCUCAAGUACAGCAAUAGGUUAUUUAAAGACCGAAGUAAAUAGAUCUGACUGCAAGCAGACACAGGAAACAGAUCAAUGUCUCAUGAUGAUGAAAUCUAUGUAGUAAGUUUUGACAAGAGCCACAUGCUGGGGCUCAUCCAACAGGGAUCUUUCCACCAGGUAUUUGUUGAAACCUAUAAAGAUGCAGAUUAGCUUCAGUUGAUGCAGGGAAGUGAUUUUUUUUUCAUACAUCCUAUAAACUUUUAUAUUUUUGGCGGGGAGACUGAAAGUGCAUGAAUGCAUAGUAUUUUUUGCAGGCAGACAUAGCUUUAUUCCAAUCCUACCUCAGACUCUCAACCUUUUAUCUCUUAGACUUACUGCCAUGCCAGCUGUGGUUACAUGACUUCCAGUUUGCUUGGAUCAGGGCAGAGACAGGCUAUGUGUGCUUGUCAAACACAAAUACGUGCUAGAACCUGCAGCUAGAGUCCAGGAAAAGGUCUUUGACAUAACAAACAUACCUGUGUAGUCCAAGACCUCCACAGCUCCAAGAUGUACUACUGCCAUGACCUCAGAUUGUUGCUAUGAUGCUUUUUAUAGGGAUUUGAUGACAUCAGCUAGCACUAAUGUGAUAUUUUCCUAAGAGCUGUAGUAGAGGUAGAUGUGUAAAGUCAAAGCUUCUCUCUCAUAGCACUGGACCCACCUGGUGAGUACAAGGCUCCCUCAGGGCAAUGCCAUUUGUACUUUGAUCUGUGUUCAUGAGCACCAGGGCACACAGGAGCCCAGGGAGAAGGGCUGCCCUGGUUUCUUUCUAUUCUUCUUUGGUGUCAGCAUGCUCACCAUGUUGCUGCUCCUCACAAAAACUCAUCAGCUGGAAACAUGUCUAGAAAUGAAGCAGAGCUCUGAAAGCAACACUACUGCAUGCAGGACUGAGCAGCAGCUCCCAGUUUCUGCAAGUUUUUGGUUCUACUCUGUCAACCACCUUAGAACCAAAUUUGUAAAGAAAUGUAGAGGAAAUGAGAAAUUAAAAGGCCAAAUCUGGAAAAAAAAAAAGUCUUCCACUUCUGUUACUCAAACACUUGGAGAGAAGCCAAAAGGCAGAUACAGUAAUAAUACAACUUUUGGAAAAUGUGGAAUAAUAAUAGAAGCUAGAUUUAUUUAGAUCUCCAAUGGUGGAGACUACCUAGACCAUAGAGCAGAAGGGAUUAAAAAAAAACAACCACAUACUCUGAUAUUUGAGAUUUUUGUUUUUAACGUAUCAGACAAAACCAUUGUGAGAUUGAGAAUGGAAGCUGAAGCCUACACAAAGUCAGACUGGAAGAAAGGUGACAACUUUACCUUGAUAACAGCCCAUCACUGCAGGAAUAUCUCAUGUAUGGUUUCCCCAACAGUUAAUCUUUAAAUUUUUUAAAAUUUGAUUUCUUUAUAAAAGAUAGGCUUUUAUUUACUAUUUUAGUCUGGCCUGUACUAUGCAGGAAGCCAGAUUAAAUCAUCAUAAUAUUCCCUUCUAGCCUUAAUCUACAUAUGAUUAAAACAUAUUAUGUAGUUACCUGUCCAUAUAGAGAUGACCAUCUCCUCCCCACUCAAGUUGAUAUUUUCAAGCCACCAAAUGAAACUAGCCAAGACAAAGUGUGCUUGAUGAAACGGUGCUGCUGUGUGACAGUCAUGUGUCUGUGGGGAUGUCAGUGAGUAAAUCUUGAGGCUGAAAUCCUAAAGCACAAAAGAUACACAGCCAGCGUGGUGUCCCACAGGUGGGUGCAGGUGUGCCACACUCUGGAGGGGACAACCAACCCUUCAGGCCCUUCCUGUAUUCCACCAGUCCUCUGUGAAUAUUGGAGAUGAAAUUUUUGUACACUUUCACAGUAGCAAUCACUGUGAACCUGAGCUCAUUUUCACAAACAAAGCAUGCCCAAUCAACAGUCUCAUUUUUUUUUUCCUGCUUUAUGGAUGUUGAAGCAACAAUUUUGUGCAAAAGGUACAGGUGGGUUUUACGCUCCUGCUGGGCCCCAUGGUAGAGACUCACACAACAAAGGCUUGCAGGUGUUUCCUAUAUCUUUGUGGUUAUUUCUUUCAAACAGCAUCUGUUGAAAUGCAUCUUGCCUCCUGCUUAAAAAAGCCCAAUGCUUGGCAAUGCAGGGUGCUUGCCUUAGCUUUAACUGCCCACCCACACUGAACAUUUUAUGUUAUUUAGAUCGACCAGGGGCACAAUGAGAGCCUUUGACCAGCAAGACUUCCCUUCAGAGUGGGAGGCUCUGGAGGGGGAAAGGUGACCCAGAGAUGUGGUAACAUUUUUCACCUCCACUUCUCUUUCCAGUCGGGCAGCCCCGUCAUAGUUGGCACUGACCGCACUACCACCUGCUGCGUUCCAGCAGAAAUCCACACAAAACCUGGCUUGUCUUUGGGUAAUUGCACUUGUAAAGUAGAAGCAGCUCAUUUAAGCACUACACACGGCAUCUUAUUAAGCACCUCGUGAUACAUAAAAUUAAGACAACUGAAAGAAAAUUUCCGAAAAAGCCUUCUAUACGGUUUGUGACCACAGCUUGAUUUGUAUCUGGUGAAGUUUUCCUGGGUGAUGAGUCCAUAAUUCCCAUCACCUUUUGGAAAAAGUCUGAUUUAACUUUAUUUUGCUUCAAUAAUAACUACUAAUGUUGUGUUAACCAAUCAAAAGAGAACAAGUGGUCAAAGCAAGACCUAGAGAAACAGACCCAGAACACAUCUAACCUGAAGUAGAUGUAGGUUGAACAUGAUUUGGUUCUGAAUUCUCAGCAUGAGCUAUAAGUAAUUAUAACUAAAUCCCCUGGGCAAACUGAUCUACGUGUGGUGGCCCCAUUCAAUGCAGGGGAGUUGGACUAAAUGGCCCUUGGAGGUCCCUUCCAACUCUAAGGAGUCUAUGAUUCCAUGAUUAUGAUUCUAAUUCAGGCAUGCAAAGUGGUCUGGGAGGGAACUGGAUGUCAGGUGGUAGCACUGGGCAGUACAAUCUACCUCGAUCUGUGAAUUUCAUUGUAGGAAGAGCAUUAUGUUGUUUUGGUGUUUGUUUGUUUUCCUUAUUUUUUUUUUUAAUUUCUUUAUAGUUUCUUUUUCUUUAAGAUAUGAUUUAGAAACCACUGGGAGUUACUUGGAUGCUGCCUUCCAAAUUCAGUGCUUUUAUUUUUUAAUAUUGUAGUGGAAAUGCUAAGUCACAGCUUGAAGCAGUGAUUGAGCACCUGGUGGAAGGCAGGGCCAACUCAGGUGAGCUCAGGUGCAUGCAAUGCAGCUGAGUGAUCAGAAGGACUGGAGCCAGGAUCCACCCCUUCCCAGCCCUCAUUUAAGGGUUGGCAGUGGAGGCAAGGAUAUCUUCCUAGAGUUUUCUACCUACCUGAGUCUUUCCAAAGGUCAACUGCAUUUAAACAACUGCUAGAUAAACUGCCCAUAACUUGAAAUGCUGGAUGAAAAACAUAUGUUGUACUUCCUCUACAAAGUUGUUCUAUAUCAUUUUUAACCAAGUUUUGGAUUGAAGAGGUGAAUUAUUGCACUGCAUACAACUACGGGCCACACACUCAGUGCUGCCACCCAUAAACACCUUACCUCAUAUUGAAGGACUGGUGACACAAGGCUGUACCCAACAUCAUGCAGGGCUGUGUGAUGACUGAUUCCAGUGAAUGAAAGGGAGCAGGUGUCAAGGAUGCUGAAGGAGGAGAAGGGAUGUGACAGCUGUCUGCAGCUCAGGAUGCAUUAAGUGAUGACUGGGUGGUCUGCGGUACGAUCUGGGACAGAGGAACCACGCAGAGAGCACAGAACACACAGGGCAGAAAGAUUGAAACAUGCUAAACCCUUGAAUACCCCCCAUGACAAAAACACAAGUGAAAUAUUGUCACAACAUUUUAUGUAUUAGUUUGGACAGGAAGAAGAUGAUUUGUAAAGGGAUAUGUUUUCACAGGUAGCAUUACACACACACCCCACUUUCCCAAAUUGUUUUUAAUUGGCUUGCAAUCAGUUUUGUCUAGUCUCCCACCUGUCAGCCAUGAAGACCAACUUACUCCAUCAAAGUCCUGUAACUUUGUGAAGAACACAUUUCUGAGCAAGUCCUCUCCAUAAUGUUACAUUUAUGUUGUGUGGCACCUCGAGCAAUGCUUUGUGCUUUCCCUGUUUCAGAGCUUUGUGAACAGAAUGUCUGGACCUGCAGAUGUUCACCCUCCCACGAGUGCUGGCCUCUACUGCAAAUUCUUGUUGCUGUCUUGUCCUUGGGAAGAGCCUUAGAUAUACAGGCUUAUCAUAGUGAUUUAAACACAGCUACCUGCGGAUGUGAUGGAUUUCCUUUAUUUGCAGUCUCCCAGUCAAGACUAGAUGGAUAUCUAAGAGGCAUGUUGUAGCUCAAACAGAGAGAGGUGCUUGGUGCAGAAAUUAUAGGGUCAGAUUCAAAGGCUGGUGUUGUGUGGGAGGUCAGGCAAGGUGAGUGUGUACUUCCAACCACUGCAUCUACACUGUAAAUUUCAAAGCUGUCUGUAAAACUAGGAAAUGCAGAAGGAAUUUAAUGCAAAGCGUUUACCUUUCCUUUUGUCUGAGAUGUAACCCAACGUUUUGCCUUUCCACCACAUCAUUGUGAAAGGAAAUUAAUUUCCCUGCUCACUGAUUAUACUGGAACUAUUUAAAGCAAAUUCUCAGCUACCACAUACUUGAUCAUAGAAACUUUCUUAACCCCAAAGCUCUCUCGUUUCAACGCUUUCCUCCAACAAGAACUCCACCAGAAACAAAAAUAACUUCUCUUUCUAACCUUUCAACCCAGGACUCCCUACUCAGCUUUAAAUGCAAUCCCAAGGAAGAGAAUUUAUCUAUACUUUUUCUUCCUUUAGGCAGUUACUCACCUGUUUUCAUCUGGCCUUUCUUCAGCCUUGAGCCUGGAAGGAGCAGGUUCACACAGUGCUCAGAGUAUCAACAAAUGAAGGGGGGACUGCCUGCAGAGAAGUGUAGGCCUGAGUUUGUUAAAUCCUCAGAGAAAGGAUGGAGCAGAUAGAUAUAUGCAUAAGGCAGGCAGAAUUGAUAUUAUUUAUUCCUCUUUGGCAGAGUCUGGACAGAAGAGACAGUAGAAAGUACGUCCAUUUCAUCAGACUGGAUGUGUUCAAAGGUGAUAACAGAAGCUGAAUGAACUUGGCUGCCACUGUCCCCGCCUACAGCCAAAGACUGAAUUUGGUGAUGGCCCUCCUUGAGUAGAGCCAAGUGGUGCUCCAUAGCCAAGACUGUCAGCCCAAAAGAGUUGCUGAUCAGCCUGGUCUCAUGUUCCAAGAAUGAAACCCUGGCAUGGAAGUGGCAUAUCUGCCAGUUAAUGUCAACAUUUGAUGUGCAGUCAGAGAGCAAACAAGGUUUCAUAUUGUGGUAAAAAGGGAAAUACUGUUUGCUUUAAUUCUAGUUUCUUUGUGUCAGAUGUAUUAAGAGUCUCAUAAAAUAGUGAAAGAAUUUCAUUCUUACUUACAAUUAUAAGAAGCAUAUAUAUAUAUAUAUACACACACAUAUACAUACACACACAAUAUACCUACUUCUACAAGUACAAACAAAAUGUAAAAUCUAGCUAGUAAUGAAUAGCUUGAAACAUCCUUUUCAGAAAACAUUAUAAUACAAGACUCCAGUGACUUUAUCUAACGCUCAGUUACUAAGACGGGGAAGAGAACACUUAACUGUGAAUGAGCUUCCCUAUAGCAAAAGGAAAGUGCUCCCAGACUGAAAAAUAGGCAGGGACAGACUAAGAUAUCAUGUAGAGUGGGUACAGCUUGCUGUCCAGCUCUCACCAGCCAUGUGUAUAUGACAGUUAAUCCAUGUGCUUUAUUGUCCUCCAGUCUUCUGGAUGAGAGAUCACAGGAGAUCACAUUUCAAACAGUGAUGUCCCAAGUGUGGGAAGAACAGAGCAAUGGGACUCUCACUGCUGUAGGAGGCAGUGCUCAGCACCACAGGAGAUAGUCCUGAGCUCCCAAGGACAAUAAUUAAUGACAACCAGCACUGGCACAGCACUUCUGUUGAGUCUCAGAGCAGAAACACCUGCAGCAUAUCCCACCCUGGCAGGGAAAUGGAGCUGGUGACCUAACAAUCUUUCCCACCUCUAACUUCUGGGGCUUUAUGAAUCGUCAGUCACACCUAGGUGUGAUAUCGCUAUAAAAUCCCAGUCACGUAAGAGAGCUGGCAGGAAGCUCUGGCUGUGCAACUCUGUGGUUUUAUGCUUAGCUGUGUUCUAAAUACUGAAAGAAUGAAGUAGACUUUCAAGCAUCAGCGUUGACAGUUGCUUUCAGAGAUAUUCAAACAAACAAAAUCCAGUCACCUAGACAGCAAAACCAGCUGCAGCUUGGGCUACAGCACAAACGUGACUUUUUGUUUUAAAAAGAAAGCCAUCACUAUCUAAAUGCCACCUGUGGUGUGGUGUGACUAAUACUGCUCUUCUUCAAGAGGUUGGCAAGGGCCUCUUUAUAGACUCAUAAAACCAUAGAAGCAUUUGGGUUGGAAAAGACCUUCAAGAUCAUUGAAGUCCAACCAUCAAACUCACCUACCAAGUGCCACCACCAAACCAUGUCCCUUAGUGCUGCAGAACAUCCCCAGAGGAAACAUGAGCACUGUGCCCAGCGCCAGCUCUGUACUUCACACAGAGGGUGGUGAUGCACUGAACAGGUUGCCCAAGGAGGCUAUGGAUGCCCCAUCCCUGGAGGCAUUCAAGGCCAGGCUGGAUGUGGCUCUGGGCAGCCUGGUCUGCUGGUUGGCGACCCUGCACACAGCAGGGGGUUGAAACUAGAUGAUCACUGUGGUCUUUUUCAACCCAGGCCAUUCUAUGAUCCUAUGAUUGACUAUGGACUAUGGGUGACAUCUACCUGUGAUUGCUGCCAUCUUAACACUAGGGCAGAGCUCAGUACAUUUCUCUACAUGGUGUGUUGCAAUAGGAAAGUUUCUUUCCUUCUCCUCCUCCAAAGUCCUGCAACGGGAAAAGAAAACAUGGGAAACCGUGUCUUCAAAUCAUACACCCAUACUUCAUCUCAUUGUAUAAUCAUCACAAAAAUCUGGUGGUGAGCUGUACUGUAUCUGUGUUUUGUCUGGAGGUUGGAAGUGGUUUUAACGAUUUAAAUCAUGGUAAAGAAAAGGGCCACUCAAAACACAGAGCUGGAAAGCAGAACCGCUUCGGUGUCUGCAGUAUUCUAAACUAGAUUUUGGUCCAGGUCCUGCUCCACUGUGUCCUCGUGUUGGGAAAGUAUAUUCAGAGCUGACAUGGCUUUCCCAGGUGUUUUCUACUGGGACAAAGUGCAGAGAAUGCAGUUAAUCACGAGUGCAUUCAAGUGUCCUAAGGUCUUUGGGUGAAAGCUGUUAGAGACAUUGAAAAAGUGUUUAAUAAUCACAGCCCCAUGUCCUCAGCACAGGCUUUUUGGGUUCACAAAAGUUCAAACACCUUUUAAGAAAUUUAGGCCAAAAUGUAAGCAGGCCAGAGCCAUGCAGCAGUUCCAAUGGCAACGGGGACAGCGCUUUGUUGAACCAUUUUCAGGAUCAUGACUACUGGGUAAGAUGCAUGCUGAGUGGUGCUGCUUUUAUAAACCACAGCAGGCACAAAGGUACUGUGUGCAGUUUCCUAUAGUUGACAUAAAGAUAUAUACAUUUUUCUUUUCAACAGUCUCACUUCUACACAGUUUCAAUUAGAAGUGCAUAUAACAACAAUCCCCAAGAAGAUUCAACAUUGGGUCUUUCAACUGACUGUCAACACAUCCUGUUCUUCCUCAUUUGCAAUACUUGUCCCUAAAAACAAACUGGACAUAAAAGCUUAAGUCUAUACUUAUGAAAUGCUUUUGGAUUAUGUAAAAACAUUGCAGAGGAUUUUAUUGCCUCUUGUUGUACUGGCUAAGAGUUACCCAAACCAUCCACAGAUGGAAGAAGAAGUGGUUAUCUGCAACUUCUGGAGUAGCUAGAAGGAAGUGGUGUUCUAAACUAUGGUUAUUUAACCAAAGGAGCUCAAAAUGAGUGGGAAAUACUUGUGUUCCACACAGCAUUAUUGUACACUACGUAUCAAAUACAACCAAUAGAGAAAGACAAAUAACCUGGGAAUGGCAAACGCUUCCAGUGAAUUACAAAUAUGUUUUAGAGUGACCUGAAUCGCAUUUCAAAGCGCUCAGAAUAUUAUCCCACUAAUUCAAGUGUUUACCGUGGAUCCAGUCUCACUGCCUCCAUUCAUGUGAGCAGUCCCAUCCAUAGCAAGAAGACUGCAGAGGUAAAGGCCAUUCCUGAGUACCCAUUUUCAGAGUACCCGCUGUUCUUUCCUUACAUGCUUUAAAAUUAAAAUGUUACAUUUACAGUCACAUUUUCUAUCGCAAAGAGUUUUUCAAACAGUCUACAUCUCCUACCUGGUUAAUCUUUACAGAAAAGAUCCAUCAUAAACACAGACAUUACUUUUUGACAAACAUUUGGAUUUUUUUUCAACAGUUUUUCUUUGGGUCAGAAAAUGAAAUCAUUAUUUUAAUGUCAACAUGUAAACAACAAUAAAAGUCUUUAAACUAUACCAUCAUAUUUUUUAAUACAAAGGAUCGCAAUACCUCUUCAAAGGCUUUCUUAAUCAAUGGCCAUAAAGCUUAACGACUCGUAGGUGUUAAUAUUUCUGCCAUGUUUUGCAUACAUACAUACGUGUCAUUCCUAAGGCCACAAAAGAGGUCAGCGCCAACCAGCGAAAAAGCUCUGAAUUUCUACCUUCCAUAUUUCCACCAACAAAUAGAUACUGAUAUUUGUAUAUAAUCUGUUAAGAUAAAUUCUAAAAGAAGAAAGAAAGGAAGAGAAGGAAGGAGAGAAAACAACCCCAGGGAUUUACCUACAGAGCUCAAAUGACUUCCAGGCAUCCAGCGUCAAUAAUAUACACAUACUUAUACAGGUACCAACAUGAGAUGUGAUUAUUCAGUAUUCAGAGUUCUUAGCUUUGGUCAGUCAAACAGUUAAACAAGUGCUGAAAUUGGAGUGUGUGUGAGGAGCCCUAGUGAAACAUCAGAUGACUGCGUGCCAACUACUUAAGGCUCUACAUACCGCUACUGCAGAGCGUGCUUUUGCUGCUAGUCAGCUAUUUUCAGGAUUUGAAGUUAAAACACACAUUGAGCACAGUUUCAGUUCUUUGUUACUCCACUGCAGCAUGGGAGGUGAAAAAAACCUCAAAAUUCUCUACUGCUAUCCCCAGUGCAGAUCAGACAGUGAUGUCCAUGGCCAAGACUGAAACUCAUAGCAGGUAACCCAUGAGAAGUACGUGUUUACAGCCUCUAAAACCCCAAACUGCAAUGGCAAAGGCAACCAAAGUUCUUAGGAAAGUUCCUGGAGUUUAGACACAGACUAGACUGCAGAAGCUCCAUCCUGCACUAAAACUCAGCUACUCUUUUAUCCCACCCUACUCAAUGGACGCAUCAAACAGGCAGCAGCAGAGCACCCUCCAGCUUUCACCUGCUGACCUGCCCGCUCCAGCUGAGGGUUACAGAAGAGAAGACUCUCCCUGGACCGUGAGAUUCAACAAACACCUCUCAACAGAAAUACAGGCUUGUGGACUGAUCAGAAAGUGACAAAGUAUUUCUAGUACAUAACGUAAAAGGUAUUAACUUGUAUUGAAACAUGAAUUGAGCUUCCAUUUUAACCACUGAUAGCCAUUAGAAAGAUAACGGGUCAUCUUAUUCAUUACGUCUAGAAAGACCCUCAGAAUGUGCUGCUAAGGACAGGUUGGAGUGAUUGCUUUCUAUCAAUUAGCAGCAUGGGACAUGUUCUAAAUGUAGCCUAGUCUAGACUUUCCUGCUUUGGGUAGAUAACACAGCUGAUAUCACACAAGACUGUUUGAUGAGAGUCUUUACAGAAAGAAUCACUGCUGUGGGAAGUUCAGAUAUGAUUUUCAGCUGCUGAAAUAAGAUCAGACUGAAAAUCUCAGCUCAGCUCUCAGAUCAACACGGGUGAAACAAUGCCUUCCUGAAGGCACAUCUACGUGGGGAGGAACCAGCAACCAUUCAGCAAAACUCAAAUGCAGUUCUUCAGUGGGGGGCUUUCAUUCCCCACUGUGCCUGUGGCACAUGGGCAGUGAGCCAGUAGGGGUCUGGGGAGCAGGGUGAGUGGGAUGAGUGGGACUGCUCCUCCAGCUCAGAGCUUUCCAGCUCUACUCAGGUGGGACCUGGCCAAUGCCCAGCAUCCCUCUGUUGGAUCCAACACACAGAGAUGCCCUUGGCUGUGCUCUGAUGAGUGGCGAGGAGCUGAAGCCAGGCUGAUUCAAGCUGGAAAUGCAGCAUUUUAUUUAUUUGUUUGUUUGUUUUUAGCAGAAGCUGUGAUUUUAAAUAAGGGUCUAAAUCUGCAUCGGGUAUCUUUCUAAAAGAUGACCUCCUGCAACUGUGGGGCAGAUACAGAAACAUUGUGACCUUAAGAAUUUAUUUCUAUCAAAUAUGAACUUCAUUUCCAUCGUUUCCCACUGUCCAGAGAUGUCAGAGAUCAGUUUAAUUGCAUAGACUGUCAAGACUCCCUGGGAAUUAUGUGUAGUUUUUUUCCUAUCUCUCUCAGACAGGAUCCAUCUUCACUUUGAAUAAUUACUGCCAGAGCUGAAUCAGAAACUGCCAAAGCUGCAGGAAAGAAUCCAACAUUUUUCUACACAGAUUCAAAGCAAAUAUGAAUUCCCUUCCCUUUCCUUUUCCUUUCCCUUCCCUUCUACCACAACCCCUUUCACUUCAUUCCCUUUGAAUAACUUACCAUGAAUGAAUUUAGUGAGGGAAUGGUACACAAGAAAUCUUUGGGCAAAUCCUCAGCUGUUUCAAUUGGCUGCAGUAAAGCUACACUCUGUUACACCCUGAAGAUGCACCACAGUGGAUGUGAAAAGCUCUCUUGGAGAUUAUUCACCUCGUAUGAAUGCAACUGUUCCCAUCAGCUAUCUCAGCUUAAAGAUUGUGGUUAUUGAGUCAGGGGACAGAACAAUGGUAUGGGAUUGAGCCCAAGCAAUUAACUCUUCCCUCAACUUUAUUACUGAAUCCUGAACUGGCAUCCCACAGAGAACCUGUAACAAUCUUAUUCAGAUCAAAGCCCCCACUUUUUAAAUAAUGAGAAGUUUGGAAAACAAAAAUCAAAGGGCAGCCUAUGAUUCACACACAGAAAUUUUAUAAAAACCACAAAAUCAAAAGGCCCUUAAUUGAGGCCUUUCAACCCAACCAAGUAUUCAUUCCAAGAUAAUUACCUGCCAUAAAACCCUCUGCCACAGAGACACUGGACUAGAAAACCUUUGAAUUGCACACGGAACUUAAGGAAAGAGCUGGCUGGGAUGUAAUCCUGCUGAGACCUGAAAAGGAGAAGUUCUGGGGGGGAACCAAGCCUUCAGUGCAAGUCAUUCCUCUGUAAAAACAUGUCAUCAUUGAGAAGGCUCUACAACAAGAAAAGACUGGGGAAGAUCUGCCAGGAGCAAACCAGGUACUCUUAUAAAUAAGGAACAAAUAGCACUGUACAUCACAUUGGGUUAAAUGCCAUGAGUAGCAUCAAAUGGUAUCUUGAAGAACAGAUGAGUCAACAGCCAGAAAUGCAACUGAUUAAAACCAAAAUUAAACUGGCUCUAACUGAUGGUGCAUGAAGGGCUACAAUCAAAAAAAGAAAAGAAAAAGGGAAAGUCUUCUGCUGUUGGGAUUCCUCUGUUCCUUCAAGCUACAAUAGGUUCUGAGCUACACAACGUUAAAAUCGUCACUGUCCUUUUGGGCACCUCACCAAAGAUGAGGGCAACUCUUGGAGCAAUGCAGUGCUCAGUCCCUGCCAUAGACCUGCCUCACAAACAGUGGUUUGGUUUUGUGGUUGUUGGCCAAUAUCUGAAAGGAUAGAAUUUCCAGACUGGAAGGGAUCCACCAGCACCGGAGUCCAACUCCUGCUCACUCUCAAGGUACUGAUUAAGAAGCUUUAGACUGACAAAUAAGUACACUUAGGAAGUUCUCCAAAUAAAUGACUGAUUAUAAUUGCUAAGGACUUUCAGAUGAAAUGGCUUUAACAUAACUUUUACUGAAAAUUUGGUAUGACAGAGGGCUAUACUCAACAGGAACUAUUUCUGUCAAUCUAGAUGUAUUUCACCAUGGUUGCAUGGCUGAUCAAAUAUCUCUACAAACAAAUGCAAUUGUUGAAAUUUUGAAAUGAAACAAUUAUGGUCCUCUUAUUUUCUGAUCAAUUCAGAUAUGUGAAGACAAAUACGUAGUUAGCAUACAAAGAGGCAUCCCUCCAAACAUUACAUUUGGUUCCUAUGAAAAUUUUCUUGCUGUAGUAAGGCCAAAAAUACAUACAAUCUAUAAUAUA